rnacentral:rRNA from 1 species
AUUGAACGCUGGCGGCAUGCUUUACACAUGCAAGUCGAACGGUAACAGGCCGCAAGGUGCUGACGAGUGGCGAACGGGUGAGUAAUGCAUCGGAACGUGCCCAGUCGUGGGGGAUAACUACUCGAAAGAGUAGCUAAUACCGCAUACGAUCUAUGGAUGAAAGCGGGGGACCGUAAGGCCUCGCGCGAUUGGAGCGGCAUAUGUCAGAUUAGGUAGUUGGUGGGGUAAAGGCUCACCAAGCCAACGACCUGUAGGUGGUCUGAGAGGACGACCAGCCACACGGGGACUGAGCCAGCGCCCAGACUCCUACGGGAGGCAGCAGUGGGGAAUUUUGGACAAUGGGCGCAAGCCUGAUCCAGCAAUGCCGCGUGCAGGAAGAAGGCCUUCGGGUUGUAAACUGCUUUUGUACGGAGCGAAACGGCUCUGGUUAAUACCCGGGGCUAAUGACGGUACCGUAAGAAUAAGCACCGGCUAACUACGUG